GAUGAACGCUGGCGGCGUGCCUAAUACAUGCAAGUCGAGCGAACAGAUGAGAAGCUUGCUUCUCUGAUGUUAGCGGCGGACGGGUGAGUAACACGUGGGUAACCUACCUAUAAGACUGGGAUAACUCCGGGAGACCGGGGCUAAUACCGGAUAAUAUUUUGAACCGCAUGGUUCAAUAGUGAAAGACGGUUUCGGCUGUCACUUAUAGAUGGACCCGCGCCGUAUUAGCUAGUUGGUAAGGUAACGGCUUACCAAGGCGACGAUACGUAGCCGACAUGAGAGGGUGAUCGGCCACACUGGAACUGAGACACGGUCCAGACUCCUACGGGAGGCAGCAGUAGGGAAUCUUCCGCAAUGGGCGAAAGCCUGACGGAGCAACGCCGCGUGAGUGAUGAAGGUCUUCGGAUCGUAAAACUCUGUUGUUAGGGAAGGACAAAUUUGUUAGUAACUGAACAAGUCUUGACGGUACCUAACCAGAAAGCCACGGCUAACUACGUGCCAGCAGCCGCAGUAA
rnacentral:rRNA from 1 species